UCCACUUUUUAAAGCUCUGGUGAACCAUCUUGAACACGUCUCCUUAGUCGCCUGUCUAGAUCUUCUCUCUCUGAGUGUUUUGACUCAAAUACGUCAAGAAAUUUCAACUUUUCACUUAAAGGGAGCGCCUUACGGCUUCUCUUUGGCAUAUCCAAAUUGCCAGCAGCACUGCUCUUGCACUUUGGGGCCAUUAAGUGAAACAGGGGUACCUGAACACAAGCCCUGUGAUACCUCGACAGUCGAUCUGAUAACUGAGAGGGCCACUAAGUGACUACGGGCUGGGAGCACGUACAAGUUUAGGAAGCACUUUGAUGUUGCCUCCUCUGAACCAGUCCUCGUCCCUGCUCGGUGAGUAGGCUUGACCAGCCCCAUUUGUCAGAACUAUGUUGAACAGUUGUGGUAAGAAUGGACAUCUUGGGGCCAACCCUGUGGCCAAGUGGUUAAGUUCGCGUGCUCUGCUU
rnacentral:lncRNA from 1 species